GCCUCCAUAGCUCAAUUGGUAGAGCGUUCGGCUUUUAACCGAAAUGUCGUGGGUUCGAGCCCCACUGGAGGCG